CGUCCCGCCGGCGACCGGCGCACGGGUGAGUAACACGUAUGCAACCUGGCCGCCACAGGGGGAUAACCCGCGGAAACGCGGCCUAAUACCCCGUGACGCCACCGGAGGGCAUCCUCCGGUGGCCAAAGGAGCGAUCCGGUGGCGGAUGGGCAUGCGGCGCAUUAGCUAGACGGCGGGGUGACGGCCCACCGUGGCGACGAUGCGUAGGGGUUCUGAGAGGAAGGCCCCCCACACUGGGACUGAGACACGGUCCAAACUCCUACGGGAGGCAGCAG
rnacentral:rRNA from 1 species